UUGACUUUAAAUCUGGGCCACAUGAUUAGUUAACUAGACUUUAGUAGUCAGAUCUUGUGGCUCUUACUUUUUCACUUGUUUUAAGUUUAGUUUUAUUUUGUUUUUAAUUCUUUUUUCUUUCAAAAAUCAUUUUAAAUAGCUCCUUUAUUAUUUUUUAGUCCAACUUUUUUUCAUAAUUUCGUAAAAAUAUUUUCUACACAUAUAAUUUUUCCAUAUUUUUAAAGAUCAUUUUGCAUUUAAUUCAUAUUUUCUCUUGUUUCUCAUUUAAUUUUAUUUUAACAUUUU
rnacentral:lncRNA from 1 species